GCCUGGGUGGCUCAGUCGGUUGAGCGUCCGACUAUGGCUCAGGUCAUGAUCUCACAGUUUGUGGGUUCGAGCCCCACGUCAGGCU
rnacentral:tRNA from 1 species